AACGAACGCUGGCGGCAGGCUUAACACAUGCAAGUCGAACGGGCAUAGCAAUAUGUCAGUGGCAGACGGGUGAGGAACACGUGGGCAUUUCCCCUUCAGUUCGGCAUAACGUUGGGAAACUAACGCUAAUACCGGAUACGUCAGAGAUGAGAAAGAUUUAUCGCUGAAGGAUGAGCCCGCGUCUGAUUAGCUAGUUGGUGAGGUAACGGCUCACCAAGGCGACGAUCAGUAGCUGGUCUGAGAGGAUGAUCAGCCACAUUGGGACUGAGACACGGCCCAAACUCCUACGGGAGGCAGCAGUGGGGAAUAUUGGACAAUGGGCGCAAGCCUGAUCCAGCCAUGCCGCGUGAGUGAUGAAGGCCUUCGGGUUGUAAAGCUCUUUUGCCAGGGACGAUAAUGACGGUACCUGGAGAAUAAGCCCCGGCAAACUUCGUGCCAGCAGCCGCCGUAAGAC
rnacentral:rRNA from 1 species